rnacentral:rRNA from 1 species
AUUGAACGCUGGCGGCAGGCUUAACACAUGCAAGUCGAGCGGGGAUAGGGUGCUUGCACCUGAUUCCUAGCGGCGGACGGGUGAGUAAUACUUAGGAAUCUGCCUAUUAGUGGGGGAUAACGGCUCGAAAGGGUCGCUAAUACCGCAUACGUCCUACGGGAGAAAGCAGGGGAUCACUUGUGACCUUGCGCUAAUAGAUGAGCCUAAGUCGGAUUAGCUAGUUGGUGGGGUAAAGGCCUACCAAGGCGACGAUCUGUAGCGGGUCUGAGAGGAUGAUCCGCCACACUGGGACUGAGACACGGCCCAGACUCCUACGGGAGGCAGCAGUGGGGGAUAUUGCACAAUGGAGGAAACUCUGAUGCAGCGAUGCCGCGUGAGGGAAUGAAGGUCUUCGGAUUGUAAACCUCUGUUAUUAGGGAAGAAACAAAUGACGGUACCUAAUGAGGAAGCCACGGCUAACUAUGUGCCAGCAGCCG